UGGGGAAUAUUGGACAAUGGGCGCAAGCCUGAUCCAGCCAUGCCGCGUGAGUGAUGAAGGCCCUAGGGUUGUAAAGCUCUUUCACCGGUGAAGAUAAUGACGGUAACCGGAGAAGAAGCCCCGGCUAACUUCGUGCCGGCAGCCGCGGUAAUACGAAGGGGGCUAGCGUUGUUCGGAUUUACUGGGCGUAAAGCGCACGUAGGCGGACUAUUAAGUCAGGGGUGAAAUCCCGGGGCUCAACCCCGGAACUGCCUUUGAUACUGGUAGUCUUGAGUUCGAGAGAGGUGAGUGGAAUUCCGAGUGUAGAGGUGAAAUUCGUAGAUAUUCGGAGGAACACCAGUGGCGAAGGCGGCUCACUGGCUCGAUACUGACGCUGAGGUGCGAAAGCGUGGGGAGCAAACAGG
rnacentral:rRNA from 1 species